rnacentral:lncRNA from 1 species
UUUCAAUCAAAAAUCCCGCAAAUCACAUAAAAUAUCAUGCUUCUACCAAGAUUGAGCUCUCAAAACCUCAAGGGACCAACUCACACCAUCACAACUCCCACAAAAUCCCAUAUGCCAGAAGAAAAAAGCCUCAAUGGGAACCUAAGAAACCCCUCCCAUCUCCCUCAAGUGCUCUCCUUUCCCACNNNNNNNNNNNNNNNNNNNNUCUCAAAACCUCAAGGGACCAACUCACACCAUCACAACUCCCACAAAAUCCCAUAUGCCAGAAGAAAAAAGCCUCAAUGGGAACCUAAGAAACCCCUCCCAUCUCCCUCAAGUGCUCUCCUUUCCCACAGAUCUCCAAACAAAGAGAAUGAAAUGAAAAAAAAUAAGGGAAAAAAUUGAUCAAUCCAUGUGGGAAAAGGUCUCACCUUCCGAUUUUUUCUGCUUUUUCUUUUUUUCCUUGAUUUUUCCAUUGUUUAUCGGUGGUUUUCCCUCUAUGUUUCUAUCCUCAAAAGUCUCAAUUGGGUGGGAGGCUUGGAGUGGUCGAAUAAAGAAGCUUAGACAUUGGCGAGGGCUCUAUAUUGGUAUUUAUAUAUAAGCA